rnacentral:sRNA from 1 species
UUUUUCUCUCCGUCUCUCUCAAUU